ensembl:lncRNA
AAAGGGCUUUCUUUCCCCGUAUUUCCUUGUCCACGUGACCUCCAGCCCACUAAACAACCACCCUCCAGCACUCUUUAUUUCCUAGUUAGAUAGCACCACUUGUGUAAGAUACUGUUUAUUACAGGUGUCAUUUCCACUAUUACGUUUCAUCUCUAUGUUGGCCCAGAAAGCAGGUGCAUGCGUGUUUGGUCAUGUCCGACUCUUUGCAACAUCAUGGACUGUAGCCUGCCAGGCUCCUCUGUCCAUGAAAUUCUCCAGGUGGAAAUACUGGGGUGGGAAGCCAUUUCCUUCUCCAAGGAAGCAGAUCUUGCGGUUAGUUUCCAGCCUGAGCUCAGCCCUCUUAAGACGGCUGAGGGCACCUCCUGAAGAGAGAUGAAUAAGCCAAGCUGCCUGCACCCCUCCCAGGAUGUACGGAGGAGGCUGAAGGGCACCUGUCCAUGUGCAUGCGUGAAGGCUGGGUGCUGGCCCGGAAGAACAGGGCAGGGAAGCACGUACCUGUACAACCUGGGCUGAACUGACCCUGACUCAUAUGUUCAGGAAGAUAAGUUAACGGCCUGGAAACUCCAGAGCUCUGCGUGAGUUCUGACUCACUGACAAUUAUCCAUAAACAAGUCAUCUCACUUCUCAGUGUUUUUCUGAGUGCCACCACACGAUCUUUGGGGAAGGGCUGUGCCAUUCAUCCUUAGGAGCUUGAGAAAGAUGAGAGCUGUUCAAAGAGCACCAAGAGGACUAGAAUUGUUGGUCUCAUUCGUUGGAAGGUGUUGAAUGACUCAUCACGUUCGUAAUUUUGAAUGGCCCCCCCAGUGGAGGGUCUAUGAGUGGCUGACGCAGGUUUUACCUGCAUCACAUUCCCAGAGUGAUUUGACUCACGACAAUGGUCACAUGCCUAUCAAGACCUCUUUCCAUCCUUUCUCUUCAGUGCGUGCGUGCUAAGUUGCUUCAGCCAUGUUCGACUCUUUGAGACCCUGUGGACUGUAGCUCACCAGGCUCCUCUGUCCAUGGAUUCUUCAGGCAAGAAUACUGGAGUGGGUUGCCAUGCCCUCCUCCAGGGGAUCUUCCCAACCCAAGUCUUUCAUGCCUUUUGCAGUAGCAGGCGGAUUCUUUACCAUUAGCACCACCUGGGAAGCCUGUACCAUUUAGAGGCACUGCUGUGAUUCCAUGGUAGGGAAGAAACUGGGGUUUCUCAGCCAAGAAAGAGGGCGUACUUUAGAGUUUCCCUGGAUGUGACUCAAGGGUUACAUAUAGAUC